UACGAGAGGUGCAAGCGUCGUUCGGAAUCAUUGGGCGUAAAGCGCACGUAGGCGGGUUCGUAUGUUAAUUGUGAAAUCCCUGGGCUCAACCUAGGAAUUGCAGUUGGUACUGCGAAUCUUGAAUACCUGAGAGGGUGGGAGAAUUCCUGGUGGAGUAGUGAAAUACGUAGAGAUCAGGAGGAAUACCGGAGGCGAAGGCGCCUGCCUGGCAGUGUAUUGACGCUGAGGCGCGAAAGCCAGGGGAGCAAACGGG
rnacentral:rRNA from 1 species